AGAAUUCACUGUCAACACUGCUUUAGAUGAGUGAACAGAUUAUGUUUAUCUGCUGUAGAGUGACUGAUGAAGGAAUGCUGCCAUCAAAGGAUUUGUAUCUUUUGUGGUGGAGCAGGACCUGCAAGGAAAGGGGAAAAAAAGGAAAAACCUGAAACAAAAGAAUAAAGUAGUGGUGCUCAUGGAGAGCAGCACACGAUUGUUUGGAGCAGACACAGCAGCACUCAGAUUGUCCUGCAUGUGUUCUUCUGCUCUCGUUUCAAGGUUGUGUGGUUCAGAGAGCCGUCAUCAAGGUCUUCCUCAUCCUGUUGCUCAACGACAUCCCCGUUGAGAAGAGUGAGAUUGUGAAGCACAGCGCAGCAGCAGAACUGUCUCAGCUGUGUUGAGAUGAUAGUAAGAUGUGGGGUUCACCGUCUGUAAAUACAUGAUUGUUAGAACAGUAAGUUUGAAAGAAGCUUUGUUUCAUGUGUUGUUGACUUGUACAUGUCUGCAUUUAUUGUGAUGCUAACAUUUAUACAUUCUUUUAAUCAUUUAGACAUGUUUCUUGUUGUCA
ensembl:lncRNA